GCGAAUGUAGUUCAAUUGGUUAGAGCGCAAGAUUGUGGAUCUUGAUGUUGCGGGUUCAAGUCCCGUCAUUCGCC
rnacentral:tRNA from 1 species